rnacentral:lncRNA from 1 species
ACUUCAUAGAGUUGAUUUUACAGAGGACAUAGGCCAGAGCUUGAUGUCCACCGAGGGAUGUUAUAGUGAUCCUCAAAUGAGAGCUAGAAUCAGAGACCAGAUAAAGAAGAUAAAGAAGGUCCUGCCUGCUGCCUGCCUGCUGCCUGCCUGCCUGCUGCCUGCCUGCUGCCUGCUGCCUGCUGCCUGCUGCCUGCUGCCUGCCUGCUGUCUGCCUGCCUGCUGCCUGCCUGCCUGCCUGCCUGCCUGCUGCCUGCCUGCCUGCCUGCCUGCCUGCCUGCCUGCCUGCCUGCUGCCUGCCUGCCUGCCUGCCUGCCUGCCUGCCUGCUGCCUGCCUGCCUGCCUGCCUGCCUGCUGCCUGCCUGCAAGGGUUACUGUGCAUUUGUCCUGCAGUCCAGUCCUUGCUGAUUGAUUUUUACUUAUAAAACAAAGACAUGCUAUCUUGAGCCGCUCAUCCCCUGCAAAGGAGGUGGGAGAUGUAAAAAUAAAGGGUUUCUUUACGGAUCCUUCA